GGCGUCGCUAGCGCAGUUGGUUAGCACGCGCUGCCGGAAAGGAUGAAAUGCAGGUUCGAUUCCCGCCUGACGUCA